CACGUAGGGGGCGAGCGUUGUCCGGAAUUACUGGGCGUAAAGUGCGCGCAGGCUGUUAUGCGAGUCUGUCUGUGAAAUGUACCGGCUACAACCGGUGCCUUGCGGCGGAUACUGCAUAGCUGGAGUACUGGAGAGUGAAGUGGAAUUCCCGGUGUAGCGGUGAAAUGCGUAGAUAUCGGUAGGAACACCGGUGGCGAAGGCGGCUUUCUGGCCAGUUACUGACGCUCAUGCGCGAAAGCUGGGGUAGCGAACCGGAUUAGAUA
rnacentral:rRNA from 1 species